AUGACCACCAGGGAUACUCAGAGAGAAAGAGUUAGACAUGAGUGAGUGAAAAGGGAGGGCCGGGCACGGUUGUUCUACAGCGGCGCCACGGAAGCAACACUACCGUUCAUCAGUGGCGUGGAUCGGUUCUGCUGAACGCAGGUAAGCCACUAAUGGUCGUGGUUUGUACAUCCGAGCGGCGGUGAUGACGUUUGACGGUGUAAUAGCUCAUUGGUCGGCGUCAAAACGGUACCCGAGGUGGCAAGCACCAUCGAUGGAUUCUAUGGAGCAAGGAGAUCGCUGAGGGUGUUUGAGCACGUCGUCAUCGCCUCCGGCAACGCGGCUUCGGUGCCGCCAAGGUUCUUGCUUUACGACGCCACGCCCUUUCCGAGGCCACCAGGCGUUCCAAAUUUGCGAUGUCGUCUCUGAUCGUGGUUCAUCUAUGAUCCCAUCUACUUCUGCAGAUCCUCCUCAAUUCAAAUGAAUCUAAUUGAUGAAGAAAGGGGGCGUUUGUGAAUUGUGAUGGUGGUUCGAUAUGCGAUGACUGAUCACAGUGAAAAUGACAUGCUUUAACUUUAAGAAAACAACAAUGAGAUAUGGGUGCCGAAAAUGCAAGUUUCACUAUGGUGAAGAUCACUCGGGAAGAGAAGUUAUCGUUGCUUGGUUAGUUGAUCGAAGAAGAAGACUCAAAGGAUACCGCCUUUGCAUCUUUGGGGAUGAAGGGUGGGUGAUGUUGAUUUUGUCUGAUUAGAUUACUUUAUAUAAGUUAUAACUUAAUAAGCUUUUCUUAACUAAUCACAUCAAUGAUGCAAUUUCUAGAAUGAUUAUAUUGGUUAUGUUCUUUAUUCUACUGGUGUAAUUCAUGUUAUCCUUUCACUGUAUAAACAAGUUACUUUUAAUAACAUUCAAUUGUAAAUUUUGGAUGGUGUUACAAUAUUGAGGCU
rnacentral:lncRNA from 1 species